rnacentral:rRNA from 1 species
CGUUCCCGGGCCUUGUACACACCGCCCGUCACACCAUGGGAGUUGGUUUUACCUUAAGACGGUGCGCUAACCGCAAGGGGGCAGCCGGCCACGGUAAGGUCAGCGACUGGGGUG